UACAGAGGUCUCAAGCGUUGUUCGGAUUCAUUGGGCGUAAAGGGUGUGUAGGUGGCGCCGUAAGUCGGGUGUGAAAUUUCGGAGCUUAACUCCGAAACUGCAUUCGAUACUGGGGUGCUUGAGGACUGGAGAGGAGACUGGAAUUCAUGGUGUAGCAGUGAAAUGCGUAGAGAUCAUGAGGAAGACCAGUGGCGAAGGCGGGUCUCUGGACAGUUCCUGACACUGAGACACGAAGGCCAGGGGAGCAAACGGG
rnacentral:rRNA from 1 species